rnacentral:rRNA from 1 species
GACGUAGGGCGCGAGCGUUGUCCGGAUUUAUUGGGCGUAAAGAGCUCGUAGGCGGCCAGUUGCGUCUGCUGUGAAAUCCCGGGGCUCAACCCCGGGCUUGCAGUGGAUACGGGCUGGCUGGAGGCAGGCAGGGGAGAACGGAAUUCCCGGUGUAGCGGUGAAAUGCGCAGAUAUCGGGAGGAACACCGGUGGCGAAGGCGGUUCUCUGGGCCUGUACUGACGCUGAGGAGCGAAAGCGUGGGGAGCGAACAGG